rnacentral:lncRNA from 1 species
CUGGGCCGGAGGCCGGGCCUGCUACUGCUGCUGCUGGUGCUGCUGCUGGCGCUGGGCCGAAUGCUGCUUGGGCCUGCUUCUUCUUUCUCUUCUCCUGCUGGGCUGCUACUGCUAUUGGGCCUGCUGCUUAUUUUUUUUCGGGUUCUUUUUUUUUUUGCUUGGGCCUGGGUGUUUUGGGCUACUGGAUGGUCUGCCGUGGGUCGGGUUGGCUUUCCCGGGUCGGGUCGGGUCAAGCCCGACUGAUAUUUUUGUUAUCUUUUUAUUUUUUUAUUUUAUUUUCUUUCCUUUUCUAUUUUUUUCUCUCCUUUUUUUCUUUCUUUUUCUUUCUUUUUUCCUUUCUUCUUCGGGUUAAAAUCUAACCCCCUUUCUUUCGCCGCCGUCGAUACCUCCGGCGCACGGUGGCGGGAUAGGCGGCGGUGCUUCCUCUCUCUUCCUCUCUUCCCUCUUCUUUGUUGUUUUUUCUUUUUUGCUACUGUUUUUCUUUCUUUUGUUUAUGCUUGCUCGUCUCUAGGGUGGACUUCGGUGGAGGGCAACGAUGGACGUGGCGCGGCGGUCCUGGUGGCGUGGGUGCGGUUGCGAUGAGUGUGGGAUCGGCCCAUUUGAAAGCUUUCGCUGCUGUUCCUUUUUUUAAUUUUUUUGCUGCUUUUUUUUUUGUUGUGGAAUUCCCCCUCCCUUCUCUUCAAUUUUUCUUUUUAAAAGCUCCAAAUUUUGUCCUCUUUCUCAUUGUUUGCAGGUAGUGGGUGAAGAAGGAGCAGCCACCCAUGUUUAUGGCCUGAAAAUCUGGGAAGUGGGUGCCCCAAAUCAC